rnacentral:rRNA from 1 species
AAUAUUGCGCAAUGGGGGAAACCCUGACGCAGCGACUCCGCGUGAACGAUGACGGACUUCGGGUCGUCCCGUCCUGUCCUCAGGGAAGAAUAAAUGACGAUACCUGAGGAGGACGCCCCGGCUAACUACGUGCCAGCAGCCGCGGUAAUACGUAGGGGGCAAGCGUUGUCCGGAAUUAUUGGGCGUAAAGGGUGCGUAGGCGGCCUUUUAAGUCAGAUGUGAAAGACCACAGCUUAACUGUGGGAUUGCAUUUGAAACUGAAGGGCUUGAGUGUCGGAGAGGGUAGUGGAAUUCCCGGAGUAGCGGUGAAAUGCGUAGAUAUCGGGAGGAACACCAGUGGCGAAGGCGACUCUCUGGACUGCAACUGACGCUGAGGCACGAAAGCGUGGGGAGCGAAC